UGUGCGGUGAUAGCAGUUGGUAGCUAGCAAGACUCAUAAUCUUGAGGUCGGUGGUUCGAAUCCACCCCGCGCAA
rnacentral:tRNA from 1 species